CCUACGGGUGGCGGCAGUGGGGAAUAUUGGACAAUGGGCGAAAGCCUGAUCCAGCCAUGCCGCGUGUGUGAAGAAGGCCUUCGGGUUGUAAAGCACUUUCAGUGGGGAAGAAAGCCUUGGGGCUAAUACCCUCGAGGAAGGACAUCACCCACAGAAGAAGCACCGGCUAACUCCGUGCCAGCAGCCGCGGUAAUACGGAGGGUGCGAGCGUUAAUCGGAAUUACUGGGCGUAAAGCGCGCGUAGGCGGUCUGAUAAGCCGGUUGUGAAAGCCCCGGGCUCAACCUGGGAACGGCAUCCGGAACUGUCAGGCUAGAGUGCAGGAGAGGAAGGUAGAAUUCCCGGUGUAGCGGUGAAAUGCGUAGAGAUCGGGAGGAAUACCAGUGGCGAAGGCGGCCUUCUGGGCUGACACUGACGCUGAGGUGCGAAAGCGUGGGUAGCAAACAGGAUUAGAUACCGAGUAUC
rnacentral:rRNA from 1 species